ACUCUUUUAGUAUCAAUUAGUACGGCUGACUUCCAAUCAUCUAGUUCCGGCGCUCCCCGGAAAAGAGUA
rnacentral:tRNA from 1 species